AUCCAGCUGACCAGUCCCAAAUAGGUCGAAACGCGUGUUCUGGAU
rfam:Schistosoma rodhaini strain Burundi genome assembly, scaffold: SROB_scaffold0000404